UGGGGAAUAUUGCACAAUGGGGGGAAACCCGUGAUGCAGCGACGCCGCGUGAGCGAAGAAGUAUUUCGGUAUGUAAAGCUCUAUCAGCAGGGAAGAAAAUGACGGUACCUGACUAAGAAGCCCCGGCUAACUACGUGCC
rnacentral:rRNA from 1 species